rnacentral:rRNA from 1 species
UACCAGAGCCAUAUCUCCCUUCAGUGGUUUCUCACUGAAGAUUAGUAGGGUUGAGCCUGGCCAGUACUUGGAUGGGAGACCUUCUCUGGAAAACUGACCUUGCUGUUGGAA